rnacentral:rRNA from 1 species
GACGAACGCUGGCGGCGGGCUUAACACAUGCAAGUCGAACGGAAAGGCCCUGCUUUUGUGGGGUUCUCGAGUGGCGAACGGGUGAGUAACACGUGAAUAACCUGCCCUUGACUUUGGGAUAACUUCAGGAAACUGGGGCUAAUACCGUAUAGGAGCUCCUGCUGCAUGGUGAGGGUUGGAACGUUUCGGCGGUUGGGGAUGGACUCGCGGCUUAUCAGCUUGUUGGUGGGGUAGUGGCUUACCAAGGCUUUGACGGGUAGCCGGCCUGAGAGGGUGACCGGCGUCCUGGGGCCUGAGGUAGGGACCAGACUGCUACGGGAGGCAGCAGGGGGGAAUAUUGCCCAAUCGGCGGAAGCGUGAUGCAGCAACGCCGGGUGCGGGAUGACGGCCUUCUGGUUGUAAACAGCUUUCGCUUGUGACGAAGCGUGAGUGACGGUAAUGGGUAAAGAAGCACCGGCUAACUACGUG